rnacentral:rRNA from 1 species
CCUACGGGUGGCAGCAGUGGGGAAUAUUGCACACUGGGGGGAACCCUGAUGCAGCGACGCCGCGUGGGUGAAGGAGUAUUUCGGUAUGUAAAGCCCUAUCAGCAGGGAAGAACAAUGACGGUACCUGACUAAGAAGCACCGGCUAAAUACGUGCCAGCAGCCGCGGUAAUACGUAUGGUGCAAGCGUUAUCCGGAUUUAUUGGGGUUAAAGGGUGCGCAGGCGGAAGAUCAAGUCAGCGGUAAAAUUGAGAGGCUAAACCUCUUCGAGCCGUUGAAACUGGUUUUCUUGAGUGAGUGAGAAGUAUGCGGAAUGCGUGGUGUAGCGGUGAAAUGCAUAGAUAUCACGCAGAACUCCGAUUGCGAAGGAAGCAUACCGGCGCUCAACUGACGCUCAUGCACGAAAGUGUGGGUAUCGAACAGGAUUAGAUACCCCUGUAGUC